rnacentral:rRNA from 1 species
UACGUAGGGUGCAAGCGUUAAUCGGAAUUACUGGGCGUAAAGCGUGCGCAGGCGGUUUGUAAGUCUGUCGUGAAAUCCCCGGGCUCAACCUGGGAAUUGCGAUGGAGACUGCAAGGCUAGAAUCUGGCAGAGGGGGGUAGAAUUCCACGUGAUAGCAGUGAAAUGCGUAGAGAUGUGGAGGAACACCGAUGGCGAAGGCAGCCCCCUGGGUCAAGAUUGACGCUCAUGACACCGAAAGGCGUGGGGAGCAAACAAGG